UGUGCUAGGCAUGCAUUUAACUAUGAAGCAUGGGUGUCUUAGUUAGGGUUUUACUGCUGUUAACAGGCACCAUGACCAAGCCAUGUCUUAUAAAGGAAAACAUUUAAUUGGGGCUGGCUUACAGGUUCAGAGGUUCAGUCCAUUAUCAUCAAGGCAGCAUCCAGGCAGGGAUGGUGCAGGAAGAGUUGAGAGUUCUACAUCUUCAUCUGAAGGCUGCUAGCAGAAUACUGACUUCCAGGCAGCUAGUAUGAGGGUCUUAAAGCCCACACCCAUAGUGACACACCUACUUUAACAAAGCCACAUCUAUUCCAACAGGGCCACACCCUCUAAUAGUGUCACUCCCUGGGAUGAACAUAUACAAAUCAUAACAGUGGGUCUCUGUGACCUGGAUUCAUGCUCUUGCAUCAUAUUUCCUGAGGCCUCUGCUUUCCCUGUACCUCAUAUGAGGAUUCUCCAAUCUCCAGUAAUGCCACACAGAAUGAGACUGCGAUGCAGAUCUUUGGAGGAAGUCCACAGAGACAAAGCUCUUUCACGUCAUGCCAUAUCUAGAAUAUCACUGGCUGAUGUCACUCCAGGCUGAAGAAGAGUACCACCGAUCAACGUGUGAUGGAGUGAUGUAAUAAAGAAUACAGCAUGGCUCCAAAUGGUUUUAAAAGCC